AUUUCUGAAUUAUUCAGUGUUGUCCACGUACUAGUUGUCAUAAACAGACUUUCGAUCUCUUUAUGAUGGCAGUACAGCAGAUCACUUAAGGAUUGCUAAGACAUGAAUUAACGUUUCUAACACUUGACAAAGUUACAACAUCCUACGUUGAAAAUGGACUAGACGAUACUGAUAAUAAUAAUGGUUUUAUGCAAAGUACGAGUAAUGGAUUGCAGUGCAACAGAUCACUCAAGGCUUGCUGAGCAUGAAUUAACAUUUUUAGUGCUU